GUGACAGAAGAGAGUGAGCACACAUGGUUCCUUCUUUCAUGAAGUCCAUGCUUGAAGCUCUGUGUGCUCACCCUCUAUCUGUCAC